GACGAACGCUGGCGGCGUGCUUAACACAUGCAAGUCGAACGAUGAAGCCCAGCUUGCUGGGUGGAUUAGUGGCGAACGGGUGAGUAAUACGUGAGUAACCUGCCUUUAACUCCGGGAUAAGCCUUGGAAACGGGGUCUAAUACCGGAUACGACCAACCCUCUCAUGGGGUGUUGGUGGAAAGGGAUUUUGUACUGGUUUUAGAUGGGCUCACGGCCUAUCAGCUUGUUGGUGAGGUAACGGCUCACCAAGGCGACGACGGGUAGCCGGCCUGAGAGGGUGACCGGCCACACUGGGACUGAGACACGGCCCAGACUCCUACGGGAGGCAGCAGUGGGGAAUAUUGCACAAUGGGCGCAAGCCUGAUGCAGCGACGCCGCGUGAGGGAUGACGACCUUCGGGUUGUAAACCUCUUUCAGCAGGGGAGAAGCGAAAGUGACGGUACCUGCAGAAGAAGCGCCGGCUAACUACGUG
rnacentral:rRNA from 1 species